CUUAAAUUGAAGAGUUUGAUCAUGGCUCAGAUUGAACGCUGGCGGCAGGCCUAACACAUGCAAGUCGAGCGGAAACGAGUUAUCUGAACCUUCGGGGRACGAUAACGGCGUCGAGCGGCGGACGGGUGAGUAAUGCCUAGGA
rnacentral:rRNA from 1 species